rnacentral:misc_RNA from 1 species
AACGCAAAUUGCACUCCCUGGUAUUCCGGAGAGUAUGCCUGUUUGAGGGUCGGUUUAUAUAAAAUCGAUAUAUUGCUUUUUUGUGAUAUGUCGGAAUUGGGUUAUCUUGACCCCUUUGGGUGUAAGAGGCCUGAAAUUGUUCAUGCGCAUCUUUAGACGUGUAAGAUUCUUAUCGUCUUUCUGGAUGUCAUGCUAAUCAAUUACUGGGUCGUGGUCACGUCGUUGAUCUUACGCCCAUAAUAAUCGAGUUUCGACCUCAAAUCAGGUAGGGAUACCCGCUGAACUUAA